GGGCGACUGAAGCGGGAAGAGCUCACCGUGUGAAUCUGUACAAGCCCUUGCUUGUGCCGAGUUGUGGUCUGUAGAAGCAUCGUCUGUUGGUGUCCCGGGCCAAGUCCUUUGGAAAAAGGCAGCAGAGAGGGUGAGACUCCCGUUCUUGCCUGGGACAUUCGACUAUAUUCGUGCCUUCAACGAGUCGAGUUGUUUGGGAUUGCAGCUCAAAGUGGGUGGUAAAUUCCAUCUAAAGCUAAAUAUUGGUAGGAGACCGAUAGCGAACAAGUACCGUGAGGGAAAGAUGAAAAGAACUUUGAAAAGAGAGUUAAAGAGUACAUGAAAUUGUUGAAAGGGAAGCGAAGGAAACCAGUGUUGUUUUGUCUCAUUCUUCUUGUGCUGCUUGCAGUAGAAGCGCUGUGGGUCAGAAUAGGCCAUCCUGGGUUUGGGUCGGUGCAAAUAGUUGCUUUGGAGGUAGGUCCUUUUCGGACUGAAGACACUGCAAUGUUGCGCUGGCCUGGACU
rnacentral:rRNA from 1 species